rnacentral:rRNA from 1 species
UACGUAGGUGGCAAGCGUUGUCCGGAUUUAUUGGGUUUAAAGGGUGCGUAGGCGGCCUUGUAAGUCAGUGCUGAAAUAUCCCGGCUUAACCGGGAGGGUGGCAUUGAUACUGCAGGGCUUGAGUAAAGUUGAGGUUGGCGGAAUUGACGGUGUAGCGGUGAAAUGCUUAGAUAUCGUCAAGAACACCAAUAGUGAAGACAGCUAACUAAGCUUUAACUGACGCUGAGGCACGAAAGUGUGGGGAUCAAACAGG